rnacentral:piRNA from 1 species
UAAGACAUUUCUGGAUGGGAAUAUGG